rnacentral:lncRNA from 1 species
GCCCGGUGGAAGACGGGGCGUGGUGUGGGUGUGACCCAGACGGGUCUGUCUCCCUCCCAGCUCCCCCACCCUCCGCUUCUGGUCCGCCCUUCUAUGAGCAGCUCUCCCCCACGACACCCCUGUGCUUCGCAGCCAGCCGACUACAGACUGAAACGCGAGUCAAAGUCAACGUCUCUCCUUGAGGUUGUGGGAGUUGGGUAUUUUGCCCUACCCAUGAGUCCCGUGACCAAGACAGGCAGAAAUCGGCAGGGCCAAAGUCGGGUCUCAGAGAGGCUUCCUUGGUGGUUGGAGAAGGGCUGGCAUGAACGCAAGCCAAGCUGAAGAGCAAGAGGCCUCCACUCUCCCAGCGAGGCCAGACCUGGCCGCAGCUUGAAGGGCGCCCCUAAAAGCCAGGUGGCCCAACGUCCAUCGUCUGGGAAUCAGUCACGGGUGUGGGCAGGCGCCCAGGAAACAUUCGCCCAACAGGUGCUUGCUGUCUGCUCUGCGGCUUUGGUUCCUGUGCCUUCCAUCACCUGGAGUGUUCUUCCUUUUGCUCCAGUCCCAUCAGUCCCUAAAGCCUUGAGGAAUUUUGGCAGAAAUUAUUAACACGUGGGAUGAGACCCAUGAAUCUUGAGGGGCUUUUCCUUGGCCCUGUCGAGUUCCCCUGCCCACACACCAGGCCUCGGUGCAGCAGGAGGGAGAACCACGUGUGGUAAACUCCGUGUUGCCUCUGAAAAAAGCAGCUCAUCCUGAGAGGGAAAAUUGAAUCCCAGCGCUUGGAAUAAAGUUAAAGGCCCUUUGCCCAGCCGUCCUCACCUGCAUCCUCCCCAGAGGUCGGAGCUCCCUCGGGAAGAUGUGUGUCCCUCUGUCCUUUCUACUCGUCACCAUGCAUGCCACGUGCCGUGUCCUAAGAAGUGUGGGUCUGCGUGAAGGAAAGUCACCAGGUUUCUCACAGCACUCAGCCUGUUUCCC